GCUCCCAGGACCCCUCCCCACUUCUUCCUCAAGCCGGAGAGCCCCUCCCCGCCGCCCAUCGCCGCCACGGCCGCCGCCCCCUCCGGCCAAAAUUUGCUCCAGCCGAGCCCUCCCCCUCCUUCCCGUCGCCACCAGAAGACUCCCCGAGACCCUGCGAGCCUCCCCAUAUCUUAGCUUCAUCCCCGGAGUGCCCUUGGGCGCGGCUGCAAGUCCGGCCGGCAACCUCGUCCGCGGCCACCUCAAGUUGCCGCUGCUCUGGGCUUCGUCGGCGUGCGUGAUCGGUCGGGAUGGAUGCGGCGCCUCGCACCACGCUCUCCGGUGUGCGGAGCUCCUCCGGGAGUGACCCGAGCCGCCGGGACGCCCGCCGGCACCGGGCUUCGUCUCUACUCUGCGGGCGCACGCGAGGAAGAAGAAGAGGAGGAGCGGGAGGAGAGAGAGAGAGGAGUGGGACCCGCCCGUCAGCGUCAUAGAGCCCGGCCCCGCCUUGCCACGUCACUUAAGUGAAGGCGUAUUCCGCGGAGUACGCUUUCCCCUGCAUGUAAACGCACUUCGCCUCUGUUUUGGGCUGAAAUACGCUUUCACUGCUCCGAAGACGUAUUCCAUGAAAGGCGCUUUCUCUUUUUCAGCUCAGCCGGCCGAAGUGGUUUAGUCCCUUUUCCGCCUAAAAAAGUGAACGGCCACAAAAAGUGAACGGCCACAACUUUUCACUCGUAACUCCGAUUGAGCCUCCUCCGGGAGAGAAACUUUUCCGGCGAUUCCUUCCACAAGCUUUCCGCACAUCUCCCCGGUGUAUCCUUCAUCUCCAGGCAAGCCACAACAUCCACUUGCAUGAUGGCCAUGCAGUAGCCAUGGUUUUUAACUUGAAUAUUUAAUAAAUGUUUGCUUGUUUUGAUAUUGUUAUCGUUGUUUCGGUGAUGCUUAUGGAUUUGUGUUCACUUU